UUUCAAGACUUUGAGCAGAAAUUCCCCAAGAAGUGCUGCACUGAUGUCCAGGGAACCAUAUUACAAAGAAUUUGUCCCUAAAUCUGUGAGCAAGCUACCUAAACCACUACCUCAGUAUAGGACACCAGAGAUGCUACAGCUAUCCCCAACAGAGUUGCAGAAUGCAUGCCAGGACUUCAGACAGGAAGAGCUGACACAGCCACAGGUCCAGGCAGUAGAGGAGGAGACCAGAAACCAGAGCUUAUCACCAAUAUGGUUUAGCCAAAGAGCAGGAAGGAUCACAGCCUCAAGACUGAAGCAGGUUCUACAGACUAGUCUUGCACAGCCAUCAAAGUCCUUGAUCAAGUCCAUAUGCUACCCAGAGGCACACAAGUUCUCUUCAGCUGCAACAAGGUAUUUAUUAGGGAUUAGGGAGCCAAUCAGAAUGGAGUAUUCACCCAGACCAUGGUAUAAUUAAGCAAUAGCUCACGACAGGCCGUGGUAUUUGUUCAUUAUAUCACAGCUAAGGGGCGUGGUUCGGCCCGACGCGAAGCGUCUGGACCGCUGCGUAAAAAGGAGGGUUUCUGCCCCGUUACUUCUCCACUGCUUCCUUGUUCCAGUUUGCUUUUUAACGCAGCUGUAUACAGUUUUUCUCAGACGCGGAGGGAUACCGACUUGUUGUGAAAAGUAACUUGCAAUUCUACCCGUGGUAUACGCUGAUUAUAUCACAGCUAAGAACCAAUCAGAUUGCUUGAUUUGACUUGUCCGUUUUAUAAUGUACAAUGUUCUAUUUCUGUUCCUUGUUGUAUACAUUACAGGUAUGGAUGCAAAUACGAGGCAACUGGCCGAAAGCAGUAUGAAGGAGUACAAAGUCUGCACCACCAGGGUUUCAGCUGUAAAGACAGCGGGCUUUGGCUGAACCCUCAAUGGCCAUACAUGGGAGCGUCGCCAGACAGAGGUGUCACGUGCACCUGCCAUGGAACUGGUAUCUGUGAGAUAAAGUGCCCACACAGCAAAUAAGAGGAGGCCAAUCUUCGCCUGUGUGCUGGAGAACAGGGCUUCUGUCUCGUCAACAAUGGGGGCACUGUGAAGCUGGACAGGAGACAUGCCUACUACCAUCAAGUACAGGCUCAGCUCCACGUCGUUAACGUUGACUACUGCGACUUUGUUGUCUGGACUAAAAAUGACCUCUUUGUAGAGAGAAUUGUGCGUGAUGUGGACCUGUGGGACAACAUAAUUCCCAGAGUUGAGAGUUUCUUCAGACUAUGUGUUCUCCCUGAAGUGUUGGGACAGCAACUUACAAGGGGAAAGUUUCAGUUGCAAGAUGAUCAGGAGGGAGAGAAGACGUGAUUACCAGCACCUGUGGUCUGUCCUGGUCCCGGAAGUUGUGGUUCUCUCCUUGUUGCAUUAUUAUUUGCACAGUGGCUGCUCUUUAACCUGCAUUACAGCACCUUCAUAUUCACUGACCACACUCACUAGAGGAAGUAGGGCUGUGUGAUAUAUUGCUAUUGUAAAAAAGAUGUUUACUGAAAAGAUUAAAUGAUACUAAGAAGACUGAAUAAUACAUAGUUUCUUAUUUACAUUUACAAUAACCCUCAAUGGCCAUACAUGGGAACGUCACCAGACCAAUUGUCAUCUCUAGAAUAUUGUUGAAUGAAUUAAGCCUGAAUGUAGAUGAAAGUUGUAUAUUGAGUAGGGCUACACAAUUUACAACACACAAAAAGAUGUUUACUGAAAAGAUUAAAUGAUACUGAAUAAUA